rnacentral:rRNA from 1 species
UGCCAGCCGCCGCGGUAAUACGGAGGGUGCGAGCGUUAAUCGGAAUUACUGGGCGUAAAGCGCACGCAGGCGGUUUGUUAAGCUAGAUGUGAAAGCCCUGAGCUUAACUCAGGAACUGCAUUCGAUACUGGAUCGCUAGAGUAUAUUAGAGGAUAGUGGAAUUUCAAGUGUAGCGGUGAAAUGCGUAGAUAUUUGAAGGAACACCAAUGGCGAAGGCAGCUAUCUGGAAUAAUACUGACGCUGAGGUACGAAAGCGUGGGGAGCAAACAGGAUUAGAUA